UACGGAGGGGGCUAGCGUUGUUCGGAAUUACUGGGCGUAAAGCGCACGUAGGCGGACUGUUAAGUCGGGGGUGAAAUCCUGGGGCUCAACCUCAGAAUUGCCUCCGAUACUGGCAGUCUCGAGUGCGGGAGAGGUGAGUGGAAUUCCCAGUGUAGAGGUGAAAUUCGUAGAUAUUGGGAAGAACACCAGUGGCGAAGGCGGCCUGCUGGGCAGUGGGAACCGAAAGG
rnacentral:rRNA from 1 species